AACCUAGAUUCUAGUCCUAGUCCAAUUGGGCAAAGCCCAAUUCAAUAAAACCAACUACACUCUUCUCUUUUCUAAUUCACGUACAAACCAAACACCCAAAACCCUCCAUCCUCAUUCAACUCACGUACAACUCAACAACUCCAUCCUCAUUCAACUCACGUACAACUCAACAACUCCAUCCUCUCUUCUCGCCGUUCUCCCUCCCGCCUCCACGUCCGUUGCUGCAGCCACCAAGGCCGUCAGACCACCACCAGCCGUGGCCACUGCCACCACCGAGGACCAUCAGCCACCUUCGUCGUUCCCCUGCACGCUGCGCCGCACCACCCGUUGCUGCUGCCCAGUCGGCCUCCAUCCUUCUCCUCCACACACGCAAGCAACUUUGCCCUCUCUUCUGUGUUUCUUGCUCGAACACGCAACCACCAUUGCCGACCACCGCGUCGCCCAGCCCUGCCGCCGCCAGGCCCGCUGUCGUGUGUUAUUUCCCGCCGGCCAGCACUUCCUCUUCCUCUCUCUUUGGCGGAGAAUUCUCUUUAGGCGACUUCUGAAAGUGUUAAAGUGGCCUAUUAGUUUGUUUACACAAGUCUCUAAGGAUCAAUAAGCGUUGCCCAUCUACAGGUUCGAAGAUGAUGCAUCAUUGGGAUCGGGAUUAGAGAGCUUGUAGUUCUAUUUGUCUAAUUAAGUGAUUUAAUUUGUUAACUUGGAUUUGAAAUUUGUCGUACUAUUUAUAUUUCCUUAUUUUCGUUUAUUGGUUUUGGGAUUAAACCUGUAAUCAAUUACCUAUAAACCUCAAAUUAGUUUUAUGUUUUCCGCUGCAAAAUUCUGAAUAAGCCGUUACGUUUUCACACGGGCGAUAAUGCCUUGAUAAUUCUCUAUAUUUUAUAUUAAAAGGUUAUUUUAGAAAAGAGAGAAUUGUCGGGGUGUUACAAAGUGGUAUCUAGAAGCUUAUGGUUUUAUUUCAAUGAUUUUAGGCGCCUAGACUAGCUAGUUUUCUAAAACGAAUUUCCUAGAAUUGAGCUCCUACUCAUUAUAUCGUUCAAAAAUGCGUACUUUUUUUUGGGGGGACCAAAUUCAUUUUAUUUUGUUUAAAAAGUAUAUUAAUAUUUCUUAUUUAAGUUUGAAAUUAAUUUAUUUAUUCGAAACUUUACGUUUAUGUGAAUUAAGUACGUUCUUCUUUUCGAAUCUAAAUUAAAGAUAUUCAAAAAAAAAAAAUUAAAAAAAAAAAAAAAAAACAAGACAUUAUUCUAUUUAUUCGUUAUUAUAUAUUCGUUUAAUAAAAAAAAAAAAAAAAAAUUCUUUCUUAUUAAUCAUUCUUGUUUUAUUUUAAGCGUUUCAAUGUUUACUUAUUUUGAUUUAUUACGAGAGAUGGGUAGUAUAAGAAGGGCAUAUAAGAUAGAAUUAAAUGUUCAUUAGUAGCUAGUAAUGCUAGCAUAAGAAAUUAAUUGUUAUGUACGUGCAUGUGUUUAUUGUUUAAAUGUUGUAAUUAUAUGUGCAUAAUAAAAAUUGUUUGCUUCCACCAAACUUAUUGUGUUAUCGACUUUUGAUUAUGAUUUGGUUGGGAAGUCAUUAGUGAGGCCUGAAAUUGUUUAUUUCAGAAAUAAAAUAUUCCUUUCUAAGUAUACCAACAUAGGAUCUCUCGAGAAAGAUCGAUAUAGAGACCACUGAUAUUUUUGUGAAGAAAGUGGUGUUUAGAUGUGAAUAUCUUGCUAGGAUUCAAGAGCAACCCAAUUGUACUAAGUGAUCAUGAGAAUGAAAUGGAUUAUGAGUCUGACAUUAAUAGAUGCACCAGCUUUGAACGCACUAUGCGUCAUAUAUUAAGAACAGGAGACCCUGAUAGGGAUGAGGAAGCCAUUCGUAAGUUUGACCGUGUUAGAGGGCAUACUAGAGUUGAUAUUUAUAAUGUAGUGAUACUGAGCCAGAAUAGGAUGACCUUAGUCUCAAAGGCUACGAAGAUCCACAAGGCAGAGAAAACUAGCUUAAUAUUUUAAUACCGAGGAUGAUGAUGAAUUUAAAUACGAGCCCUUUACUCUAGAAAGUUAUAAGGAAUCAAAGAACAAGAUUGAUAAUGUUUCUCUCUAAGAUUGUUUCAUUAUUUAUUUAUGUUGGGAAUAUUGUGGGACAAGUCGCCAACGGUAGUUUAAAUUUAUUGCAUAGCGCUUUUAUUUUAUUUUGGGACAAGUACGUUAUUAUGGUUUAGAAAUUGUAAUAUUGUUUUGAGGAAUAAAAUUUUCUUUAGGAAAUACAAGUUUCUUUUGAGGAAUUAAAGUUAAAUAUUUAAUUAUCCAAGUGGUCAAUGAUUUAGUUUGGGCACGCGAAGAGGAAUAAUUUCUUUUAUUAUUAUUAUUUGUGAUGAUUGAAUUUGAUUUGUUUCCCUCGAUCGGAUGUCCUUUAUGUGAAUGUCGUUCGCAAAUGAUAGAGGAGAAUUAUUUUGCAAUGAUUGUUGCACCUUUGUAAAUGAUUUUAUGUGAAUAUUGUUUAUUGAGGCGAUCUCUAUGGUCAGAUCAAAUAUUGCUUGAUAUAGAAUGACAUGUAAGUGAUGUUUAGAACCUAAGAUAGAGUAUAUUAAUUUCAGGUCGUGUUAUAGAAUGACCAACAAUAAUGACUUAGUUGUUGCUAUUCGCCUCUUGGCGGAAAAGCUGAUCCAAGAGAGAACUGAGCGUCCCGAUUCUGCUAGGGACAUGUUUGAGAGACUAGCCAAAGUUAAGUCACCAUACUUUAAGGGGGAAACUGAUCUUACUUUUAGAGAACUAGGUUAUAAAAUUUGAGAAAUUGUUUGAGGCUGUGAACUGUCCUUAGAAUAUGAGAGUGGGUCAAGUUGUCAUGUAUUUGAAAGAUGAAGCUGAUUUAUGGUGGAGAGAGAAUAGAGUUAGGCUUAGCACUGCUGAGGAGAUCCAAUUAGGAUUAGGUGGGGAAACCUUUACAUCUUCGGAUUGUGUAUGGGAAAGAUGCUCAUAUUUAUGGUUUGCAGUCUAGAAGGGACAAGAAAAAUAUUGUUCUUGGGGAGAAAAGAAAAGAGUUUAAUGCUGGGGAAAACCAAGGGAAUUUCAAGAGGAAUAUGAAUGAAAAUGGGAAUGGGAAUGGAUAUGGAAACUUUUAAGGAAGGAACAAACAGGGGCACAACAAUAGGAACCAAUCUGAGACAAUGUAUCACUGCAAGAGGUGCAACAAUAAUCACCCUGGUAAGAAUUGCAAAGGAGAAUUAGUGACCUGCAACUAUUGUCAGAAAAGGGGGCAUAGGGAGUAUGAGUGCUUCACUAAGCACAGAAAGGAACAAAAUAGUAAUGGAGAUGGGAACCAAGUGAGAUUUAACCAGUCUGGAGGUCAAAAUUCAAAGCCUGGAGGGGCACAAAACAAUCAAGAGAACUAUAAUAAACCUGCAAAUGAUAACAACAACCAGAAUAAGGCUCCAGGAAAACCGUUCAUGAUGACUAGAAAUGAAGCUGAACAUUCUGCAGACGUAGUUCAUGGUACUUUUUCUAUUAACUCCGUGCUAGUUAAAACAUUAUUUGAUUCGGGAGCAACUUAUUCUUUCGUUUUGUCAUAUGUUAUUAAGAGUCUGAAGUUAGUAGAUUUUGAAAUGAUUGAUUUACCUGUUAGUAUACCUACUGGUGUAACCUUAAGGUGUACCAAGUUAUUUAAGAACUUUCCUUUGAAGAUAAAAGAUUGCGUUUCUGACUUGAUAGAGUUUAAUGGGAAACCUAGAUGUAAUUCUGGGAAUGGAUUGGCCAAGUUUUUACGAGGCUAAGGUAGAUUGUGAAAUUCCGAAAGUAAGUUUAAGGAACCCUAUGGGAAGGUUGACCUCAUGUGAAUGUUUUGAGAAGUCCAAGAACCUUUAGUGAUUUCUAUAAUGCAAGUGAGGAAAUUGAUGAAUAGAGAGUGUGAACUAUUUUUCUGUAUUGUGCUAGACGUGAGUAAAGAAGUUGGAGUGAAGAUCGAGGAUGUUCCCAUGGUGAAUGAAUUCGUUGGUGUGUUUCCGAGUGAAAUUGCGAGUACGUCACCAGCUAGAGCCAUUGAGUUCACAAUAGAGUUGAAUCCCGGACCGACACCUAUAUCCAGAGCACUUGAUAGAAUGACACCUCCUGAAAUGAGCUAAUUAAGACAAAGUUGCAAGAGUUGUUUGGUCAAGGAAUAUAUUAGGCCUAGUGCAUCACCGUGGGGUGCUCAUGUGUUGUUUGUUAAGGAGAAAGAUAAGAGUAUGGAAUUAUGCAUCGAUUUUAGGGAACUAAACACCAUCAAGAGCAGGUAUCCUUUGCCUAGAAUAGAUGACAUAUUGGACAAAUUGAAUUGGGCGAGUGUGUUCUCGAAGACUGAUUUGGGUUUAAAGUACCACCGAUUGAGAGUAGCUGGUAAGAAUAUACUUAGAACCUCAUUAGGAUUCAUUAUUGUCAUUAAGGGUUUAGAGUAACGUCUUUUGGGUUAACCAAUGCACCUGCCAUAAUUAUGGGUUUGAUGAAUAAGAUUUUCCACGAAUUCCGAAUUAAGUUCGUUAUUAUAUUGAUGAUAUCCUCACUUAUCCAAGGAAUGAGAAAAAGCAUGACAAACACAUGAGGAUUGUUUUGGAGACGCUUAGAAAGAAUCUAGUUUUAUUAAAUGAAGUAUACAAAUCUUGAAGUCAUGUGUGUAUAAGUGACACCGACGGAAAAGUGAAGAUUAAAUUGAUUGAAAACUACGUUACUUAAGGGAAUAAAAUUUAGAGAAGAUUCGUGUGGUCCAGGAUCGUUAGAAAUCAUUUGUUGUCUUGAAAAGAUGGGAAUGUAUGAAUUGGUGGAAGUGCUAAGAGUUAAGACUAAGAGUUAUGACAUAAGGAGGUUUGGUAAAAAGGAAAAGUUGACCAGGAAGAGUUUCUGUAGAUCAUGCUAAGAUUCAAGCUGUGAGUGAGUGACCUACUCCAAAGAAAGUGUCCGAUACUUGAAGUUUUCUAAGCCUAGAUGACCAUUAUAGGAGGUUGUGAAAGACUUUUCGAGAGAGCAAAACCAAUGACCAACUUGAUGAAAAAGGAAUAGAAUUUCAAGUGAAGUGAGAAAUGUGAGGAAGCUUUCUAGAUUUAGCUGUUGUCGCGUCAAUUGAAACCUUAUAAGGCUAAUUACCAAACCCAUGACCUAGAGUUAACUGUUAUGGUGUUAUCUACGAAUAUUUGGAAACAUUACCUUUAUAGGGCAACAUGUAAGAUUUUACCGAGAACAAAAAGGCUGAAAUUUUUGCAAUAAGGUCCAGUUGAAUCUUGGGGACAACAUUAAAAAUUAAUAUUGCUUUCCACCCUGCAACCUAUAGACAGAUUGAGAUUACUAACGGAAUUUAUGUUGAAAACCCGUGUUAUUGACUUUAAGGGUAAUUGGGAAAACCACCUAGAGUCGAUUGAAUUUCUUGCAACAAUAGUUACUAUGCAAGCUUUAAGAUGACACCUGUUGAGGAAUUGUGUGGAAAGAAGUGUAGAAAUCCCACUUGCUUCGAUUUUAGUGGAAAUAUAGCAUUGGGGACAGGAUUCGUUGAAGUAGAAAUAUCCAAACUUAUUCCCUAAGAUGAGUUACGAGGGCGUAACUCGUUUUCUUUAAGAGGGGUAGAAUGCGAUAGAAAUUCGCAUUUUUCUUACCUAUUUUAUAGCAAUUUUAUGCUUAUUUUUAGCAACUUAUACAUGUUGAUGCAAGUAAAUAGAUUCUCCGCAAAAGAAAAUGUGUUCUUGAAUAUUACAAGUAACUUUUAGUUGGCAAAAGAGUUCACAAGAAUGGCACAGAGUAUUUCUCCAGUAAGAAUAAGUUGAAAACCUUUGAAAAAAAAUGGGUGAAUUUUCGUGUCAAGUUUCGGGACGAAACUUCUUUUAAGAGGGGUAGAUUGUAAUCCCCCGUAAAUUUAUAGAUUUUAUUAAUAUAUUUUAACGUAUAGUUAUUUAUAUUUUAAUAGAAUUUACGAAUUUUAAUAAUAAAUAUAUAAUUAACGUAUAUUUAUUUAAGUUAAUUACAUUUUAAAUUUUUAACGAUUUAUGAAAUCAAAAUAAUUUUAGAACUUUACAUUGAAACAAUUCGUUUUACGAAAACACGUUCGAUUGAAUUUAAUCCUAACCACUUUGGAUUCAACAACCUAGAUUCUAGUCCUAGUCCAAUUGGGCAAAGCCCAAUUCAAUAAAACCAACUACACUCUUCUCUUUUCUAAUUCACGUACAAACCAAACACCCAAAACCCUCCAUCCUCAUUCAACUCACGUACAACUCAACAACUCCAUCCUCUCUUCUCGCCGUUCUCCCUCCCGCCUCCACGUCCGUUGCUGCAGCCACCAAGGCCGUCAGACCACCACCAGCCGUGGCCACUGCCACCACCGAGGACCAUCAGCCACCUUCGUCGUUCCCCUGCACGCUGCGCCGCACCACCCGUUGCUGCUGCCCAGUCGGCCUCCAUCCUUCUCCUCCACACACGCAAGCAACUUUGCCCUCUCUUCUGUGUUUCUUGCUCGAACACGCAACCACCAUUGCCGACCACCGCGUCGCCCAGCCCUGCCGCCGCCAGGCCCGCUGUCGUGUGUUAUUUCCCGCCGGCCAGCACUUCCUCUUCCUCUCUCUUUGGCGGAGAAUUCUCUUUAGGCGACUUCUGAAAGUGUUAAAGUGGCCUAUUAGUUUGUUUACACAAGUCUCUAAGGAUCAAUAAGCGUUGCCCAUCUACAGGUUCGAAGAUGAUGCAUCAUUGGGAUCGGGAUUAGAGAGCUUGUAGUUCUAUUUGUCUAAUUAAGUGAUUUAAUUUGUUAACUUGGAUUUGAAAUUUGUCGUACUAUUUAUAUUUCCUUAUUUUCGUUUAUUGGUUUUGGGAUUAAACCUGUAAUCAAUUACCUAUAAACCUCAAAUUAGUUUUAUGUUUUCCGCUGCAAAAUUCUGAAUAAGCCGUUACGUUUUCACACGGGCGAUAAUGCCUUGAUAAUUCUCUAUAUUUUAUAUUAAAAGGUUAUUUUAGAAAAGAGAG